rnacentral:lncRNA from 1 species
AUGUUGCGCUCUGCUUGGCCGUUCCUGCCUCACUCUACCCCUAAGCUCGGAAUCGGGUCCUCUCACGGUCACUGUGGGACGCGCAGUGCGGUUCGGCUGUGCUCCUGGCCGCUCCUGCGCCCGCCGCAGGCACGCACGGCCCCGAGCCCAGCUUUGCGGCCAGGCCUGCCCUGCCGCCCCGCACCACCGCCUGGUCCCGGCCGCGGGCGGGCUCCGUGCACCUGUGCCUCCGCAGCACGGCUACCAGAGCCACGGCCGCCGCUCGGACCGGAACGCCAGCGGGGAGCGGAGACUCGUCUCCCAACGGGCCGCCCGCCACUGAGGGGCGGCUCUCGGGGUCCCGCGGCGCGGCGCCCCCCUGCUCCCGCCCACCAUUUUCUUUCAGACGGGCACCGGAGUGGCGAAGCGGCGGGCGGGCGGCCGCCUCCGUCUCCCUCCCCUUCUCCUCAGAUGCCCUUUGCAGCCGCUGCCGCAGGGUUAUUAUUACAAAGCAGCGCUGGCAACCAAAUCCUAGCCCGAGAGAGAGGGAGAGAGAGGGAGACUUUCCCCCAGCCACCCCCACCCCCUUUUUUCUCCACGGCUGCACUUUGGAAGAGAUCAUGUAGAAAGGACAGAAAGUGA